UGUUGUUGCUGCUGCUGCUGUUGUUGUUGUGCCUGUGGCUGCUGCUGCUGCUUGCAAUCCGACCGUAAUAACGACAGCAAUGCAACCAUUCCUGCAACAGGUCCCGACGCCAAGCGAGACGCGAGAUCGUGUCUUCCCGUUUUCGAUGCACGAAUAAUAAUAAAGUUAUAAUGGCGGCAAGAGAGAUCAGUGAGAUUAAACCCGUAACCAACCCAACACAUAACGUAUCAGCCAAUAGCCCCGAGAAAUAAGUGCGCCCAGUGGUUUAAAAUUUUGCCGUGUUUACGUGAAUAGGCGUGAGUUGUUUGUAAAAAAAAAAAUAAAGAGGUUGCGAAGAGAGAUCGAGAGACUCCGAGAGAGAAAUAUUGCCGGUAGUUGUAGUAAUAAUAAUUUAGAAAAGCUUAGGUGUAUGGUUGGUUAAUUUUAUGAUUAUCAAUGAUUACCAUGAUAAACGUAUCGUCUCUCCAUCCUCUUCGACCCUCGUUUCUCUUAUCGAUGAAAAGAUGCCAAUUUCCAACCCUCCACAAUAAGA